rnacentral:rRNA from 1 species
CGAGGCGAACCGGGGGAACUGAAACAUCUAAGUACCCCGAGGAAAAGAAAUCAACCGAGAUUCCCCCAGUAGCGGCGAGCGAACGGGGAGCAGCCCAGAGUCUGAAUCAGCUUGUGUGUUAGUGGAACGGUCUGGAAAGUCCGACGGUACAGGGUGAUAGUCCCGUACACCAAAAUGCACAGGUUGUGAACUCGAAGAGUAGGGCGGGACACGUGGUAUCCUGUCUGAAUAUGGGGGGACCAUCCUCCAAGGCUAAAUACUCCUGACUGACCGAUAGUGAACCAGUACCGUGAGGGAAAGGCGAAAAGAACCCCGGCGAGGGGAGUGAAAAAGAACCUGAAACCGUGU